GAGCGCUGUGGGCCCGGCCGCUGCAGGGCCCCGCGGAGGAUCCCUCCCGAGAGGCAGCGCACACGGCCGCAGUGACAGAUAAAGCCAUCAAGGACAGACCCUGAUAUGCUACAGUAAUUAAAACAGAAAAAUCAGCAAACUGCUUCCAGAGAAACUGCUUGUGCAUGCAGAAGGAUACUCUGCUUCUUGGUUCCUCCAAGGACACUGAAUAUGGUGAUGGUAUCUCAAUCUAAGACUUCAGUCCAACAGAAACACAACUGCUAUCAAGAUGUGACUUACUGUAACAGUCUGCUACUCCUAGCUGGGCGAUGUUUGAAUAUCCUUCUUCCAAGUCAUCAGAGAAUUUCCAUUUACCAGUCAAGUUCUUUCAUUCUAUUUUAUAAAAUAAAGCAUGCAUAUAUAUCUAAGCAGCCUUCAUAACAGAAGAA